CCCAACUCUCUCAUCUUUUCAAGCUCCUCUUCCCCUUUCACUGUUCUUUUGCUUCCAUCUUCUUAGUAGUGACAAAGAUAUUACUUCCCCUCUCUGUCCCCUUUAGGGCGCGAAAACCCCAAAUUAAUAUUUGCAGAGUUGCAGCUGCGAAAUGGAGGUGACGAACCUCAGCAAACAAUUGAUUUCACUUGCAGUCCAAAGAUGUCGAUUAUCAGGAGAUCCCUGGAGAAUUUCCGUCUUCCUCCGACAAAUCACGGUUUCCGAUUCCGUCUUCACUCAAAUCUCAAUUUUCUUCUCCAUCUCGGAGUUCGAUUUGGCCGCACUCGCUUCCAAUCUUGACCGGACGGAGCGGCAGAUGAUGACGCAAAAUAGCUUUGUUGCGGCCUUGCGGGUGAUUUUGGUUCUACAGAGUCCCACAAUGUCUAAUUAGGUGGCGAUUUUAGCAUCCAGGAUGAUGGAACGAUCGUGUUUUUGUUUUGGGAGCACGAGGUGCUACUGGUCUAGAACUUACGGUUGGGAGUAAGAUUUUGAGGUGUCAGGACGAUCCUUCUGCGGGUAACAUUGGACUAUCUCCAAGGUCUCAAGGUUGGGAAUUUCUUGAUCAUAAAAGAAGGAAAAAUAAGAUACAGUGACUUCAUCGACAAGGAGUUGAAAUUCCAUACAUUUGUUGAUGGGCUAUAAAGCCCACCUAGAGAAAAGUUCUCUUCUCUGCUUUUAAGAAGAACUUGACCAAAGAGAUCAGAGUUUCUCAGUUCAACGAUUAUGUGUCCAAGAAAUCAGCUAACCAUCAUGGUGAAGCUAGCAUACAGAGUACAAUUGUUGAUAUGGCACAGAGUAUCGUGGGUGAAAAUAACCUUAAUCUUCUCAUGCCAAAUGGACAGUUUGGUAUAUGUAAUCUGGGAGGAGAGGAUGCUGCCAUUGUCAGAUAGAUGUACACAAGGCUGACUGAAAUCACCAGGGAAUUGCCAGGAAAGACACUGGAAUCACUUCACAUUUAGUGGAACUAUUGAGGUAGUGGAUGAAGACAGUGCAAAUGAUGCAAGUGAAGGUGGCGAUGUAACUCUCAGAAUCACUGAACUGCCAGUUCGGAAGUGGACUCGAGAUUAUAAGGAAUUUUAAAGAGAGACAGAAAUCAAAUGAUGCAGGGAAGUGGACUCGGGAUUGUAAGAGCAUAGAUGAUUGAUUCAAGAAGAAAAUUUCGGGGAGAGGGACCUCUCAAAUCGCUCUUUCGCUAGGCUGUUAGAUGGUAACAUCCAUUGUUCAAGUUGUUGAGACACUUCUUUGCUUGCAUGCUGUUACUAAAAUUUCCUCCUAGCCCAAGGCAUUGGUGCAAUGGCUUUUAGAUGGCAUGCGUUAGUAACUUGCAAGUCCCUUGAUGGAGGAAGACAUUCGAUUUUGCUGAACUCAUUAUCAAAUUAUUCUGAAUCGAAUUUGCUGGAUGAAAAUGAAAUAGUUAGCCAUUCGCAAUUCGCUUCGGUGUCUUCAUAUAAUAAGAGGCAAUCGUUUGUCAAAUUACUCGGAUGUCAUCUACUUAUUUGAGAAAUACAUGGAGUGUUCUCUCGAGGUAGUACACAGAGGAGUACGAGCAAUAUAUCGAGAAUAUUCUAUCAGAG